AUUGAACGCUGGCGGCAUGCUUUACACAUGCAAGUCGAACGGUAACAGGGUGCUUGCACCGCUGACGAGUGGCGAACGGGUGAGUAAUGCGUCGGAACGUGCCGAGUAGUGGGGGAUAACGCAUCGAAAGGUGUGCUAAUACCGCAUACGUACUGAGGUAGAAAGUGGGGGACCUUCGGGCCUCACGCUAUUCGAGCGGCCGACGUCUGAUUAGCUAGUUGGUGAGGUAAAGGCUUACCAAGGCGACGAUCAGUAGCGGGUCUGAGAGGAUGAUCCGCCACACUGGGACUGAGACACGGCCCAGACUCCUACGGGAGGCAGCAGUGGGGAAUUUUGGACAAUGGGCGCAAGCCUGAUCCAGCCAUGCCGCGUGUCUGAAGAAGGCCUUCGGGUUGUAAAGGACUUUUGUCCGGGAGCAAAUGCCUGGUGUUAAUAGCACUGGGAGCUGAGAGUACCGGAAGAAUAAGCACCGGCUAACUACGUGCCAGCAGCCGCCGUAAUAC
rnacentral:rRNA from 1 species